rnacentral:lncRNA from 1 species
AAAAAAAAGCAGCCUCGGAGGGCAGCAGUGAAAAGACAGUUUCAGACACAAAGCCUUCUGUACCUACCACUUCAGAAGGUGGGCCUGAGCUGGAGUUACAAAUCCCUGAACUGCCUCUUGACAACAACGAAUUUUGGGUCCAUGACGGUUGUAUUCUCUGGGCCAAUGGAAUCUACCUGGUUUGUGGCAGGCUCUAUGGCCUGCAGGGAGCGCUGGAAAUCACCAGAGAGAUGAAAUGCUCCCACUACCAGGAGGCUGGAACUACUUUGGGCUGCUACAACACAGGCUGCUCCUUCUGACACCAUUACCCAUGUGCCAUUGAUGCAGAUUGUUUGCUGCAUGAGGAGAAUUUCUCGGUGAGGUGCCCCAAGCACAAGGUGAGACUGUAGAGAUGAGAAGGUGGAGGACACAUGUAAC